GUUUAAAUGUGAGUUUUUUUUAGGUGACAAAUUUGUAUCGCGUGACUGGUUUAGUGUCAAAUCUGAUAUAUGUAUGUUCAGCUUGUUAAUUAUGGGAUGAGGUCGGUCUAAAAAUUUUAGUUUAGGCCCUUAUAGAAAGUUUUGGACUCCCUAUCAGUUGGAGUCUAAGGAUAGUUUUCUGCCAGUAAGUUGGUGUUGUUAUUUGUGUCCAUUUCGUUUGAUGUUUUUCUUUGAUU
rnacentral:misc_RNA from 1 species